rnacentral:lncRNA from 1 species
GGCCGGAAGGAGGCUUGGAGAGGAGGGUUACGGUGAAUGGCCGGAUUGGUUGUCGUUCGGUGAUAGGAGGCUGCUUCAGGCAUCGACGGUGAAACCUGAUGUGACGGUGGCAGCUGAUGGGAGUGGGAAUUAUCGUACGGUUUCUGCAGCGGUGGCGGCGGCGCCGGAGAGAAGCAGUAGGAGGUAUGUGAUUAGGAUAAAAGCUGGAGUUUACAGAGAAAAUGUGGAAAUUCCGAAGAGUAAGACUAACUUAAUGUUCGUCGGAGAUGGACAAGCGACGACCAUUAUUACCGGCAGCCGGAACGUAGUUGAUGGCAGCACCACCUUCAAUUCCGCCACUGUUGGUUAGUCCUUUUUUCACAGGCUAACUUUUGCACCUAUAAUUCUUCAAGAAAAUAAAGUUUAAUAUGUAUACUUACUGUACUCAUUUGGUUUUCGUGCUGCAGCGGUUGUGGGCGACGGGUUUCUGGCGCGUGAUCUAACAUUCCAAAACUCGGCGGGGCCAUCAAAACACCAGGCGGUGGCGCUGCGCGUGAACGCCGAUCUCAGCGCGUUCCACCGUUGCGGCAUGAUUGCCUAUCAGGACACAUUAUACGUCCACUCCCUCCGCCAGUUCUACACCGGGUGCUACGUCGCCGGCACCGUAGACUUCAUAUUCGGCAACGCCGCCGCAGUACUGCAGAACUGCGACAUCCACGCCCGCCGCCCCAACCCCGGCCAGAAGAACAUGGUCACCGCCCAAGGCAGAGACGAUCCCAACCAGAACACCGGAAUUGUCAUCCAGAAGUGCAGAAUCGGCGCAACCGCCGAUCUAGUCCCCGUCCAGAGCAGCUUUCCGACGUAUCUCGGACGGCCGUGGAAGGAAUAUUCCAGGACCGUCGUUAUGCAGACUCAGAUAAGCAACGUCAUCAAUCCGGCGGGGUGGUUUGAGUGGGAUGGGAAUUUCGCGCUAAACACUUUGUUCUAUGCGGAGUAUAAGAACACCGGCGCCGGUGCUGGAACAGCGAAUAGGGUUACGUGGAAGGGGUUCAGGGUGCUGAAGAGUGAUGCGGAGGCGCAGCCUUUUACGGCGGGGAGAUUUAUUUCCGGCGGGAGUUGGCUGGCAGCUACGGGCUUUCCGUUCACUCUUGGCCUUUAAUUAAUCCACUAAUUAUUGCAGCUACUCCAAUCGAGUGUUGUUUUUACUUUUUUAACCUCUCCAAUUUGCAUUUAUCUGAAUAAUCCGGUCUUGUAAUAAACUGGCCGAUUCCGUUUUUUUUUUUUUUUUUUUUAGGCCCAUGCUAAUAUUAUCUAUCUUUAAUACAUUAAAUUUUAGUUGUUGUAAAAUCAAUGAGCUCAGUCCCAUAAACAUAUAUCAAAGGCCCCUACCAUUUUUAUUAUAAUUAUUUUUAAUGCAAGUAAUUAAAUCCCAUUCCCACAAGUUGUUGAUUUGUUAAAUAAAUGUUUUACUAGAGUCAUAAAAUAUUUGAAAACUAAAUACUAUGGUAGUAGUUAGAUUUUGUAUACUUUAUUUCUACAAAUAAACAAAUAAAUAAAUAUCAGUAUAUUAUAUUUUUUCACGUCAAGUCAAAUUCAUCAAAUUGUCCUUUGUGGAAAAAUGAUUAGACAGUAGUUGCCUCAAUAUUAAUGAUUAACAACAUUCCAAAACGGUGUCGGCUAGACCAAAUUAUUUAAUCCUUUGCUGCUAACAAACUCCAUUAUUAGGACAUCAUUUGUCUGUUAAACAUUAGUUAAUACUCCUAAUAUAGUAAGUUAUAAUGUUGGUUUCAUGCUUAACAGAAGAGCGAGAAAAAGAAGGGGAUUUCUUUAUUUUUUUAUUUUUUUAUUUUUUUAUUUAAUGAUUAACUGAGAAAUAUUAAAUAAUAAAUGGGAGGGGCAAUUAAUUAACUGCAGAAUUCAGAUAUAUUCAAUAGAUUUAGGUUGGUCCGUUGGUCGUAAUAGGGAUGCCAACCACUCUUUUUCAAGAAUUAAUUGGCAAAAAAAUAAACAUAAAAAUACUAUUCGAUGGUGCAGUAUUUUGCACCGUAGAAACCUUCUUCCAAAUCCAACUUCAAUUCUUCAUUCAUCAGAUAGUAUGUCCGGUGCUUGUAUUUAGCUAGCGAAGACGAACUAAUCGACCGGAGAAAGAUAAAAACAAGAUAGAAAGAGAUAAUUUGGAAAACGAGUGUGUUAUCAAUAGUUAAAUCACUGUGAUCGUGUUUAACUCGCUCGCCUUACACCUAGGGGUGAGGAAAAAAAAUCCGAAAACCGAAAAACCGGACCGAAAACCGAAAAACCGACCCGAAAUAUGCCGUCCCGAAGCAAGAACCGCAUAUACGGUUUUUUAUUUCCGCCGAACCGAAAUUUUCGGUUCACACUCGGUUUUUCAAGUGGUUAACCGAGCCGAUGUACCGAACCGAUCCGAAACGACGUCGUUUUGAUAGGGCCUAAUAUAUAUUCCUGAUUUUUUUUUUUCUCUGAAUUUUAAUGUGCCCCAGCCCAAUAACCCGCCCCAGCCCAAUAACCCGCCCCAGCUCGUUUCUUUUUGGGCUUUGUUGGUUCAAAAUGGGCUGAAUUAUUUUUAGCAUAUUUUGGGCUUAUUUAAAUUUAGUUUAGAGAAAAAAAAGGGCUGAAAACCGACCCGAAAACCGGAACCGUUAAGAAACCGAACCAAAAAUUUAGGAACCGAAAAAAAACCGAAACCGAAAAAAAAAACCGAAAAACCGACUAGAACCGAACCGACAUGAACCGACCGGUUUGGUUUUUGGUUCUUCGUGAACCGACCAUUUCGGUUCCAGGUUCGGUUUUAGGCUAAAACCGACCCGAUCCGAGCCGAUCUCACCCCUACUUACACCUGUGUAUAUAGUUUGUACAUAGUUGUAUUAAACUCGCUUCAUCUAUUCAUGGAAUACUUCUUCGGGUAUCUUUUUUCAACGGUUCUCAUUCAGCUCGCCACUUAUCCUAUUGAUCGUCUUUAGUAUGUUCUAAUGGGUUGGUGAGCUUAUUAACUGCAUAACCUUGAAACAUCGUUUUAACGAGCUUGGCACUAACGCGUUUUAUUCCUAUGAACUUUUACACAGGCAUUGUCUUUCACGUGUAUUUGAUCGGUGAACUCAAUAAAUCUUUUAGAACCCAUACAUUUUAUUCUUAUACUAAUUUAAUAAGCCCAAUAUGAAAGGUUUGGUCCAAUCUUACCAAACUGAAAUCCAUCAACAUUAGUCCAUAUGAUGUGUAGGUGCAUAAUGCACAUAUAUAAAUUCAAUGAAUUUUCUUAUUUUUGGAGAAUAUUCGAAUAUAAAUAAACAAAAUAGUGUAUCUGGAAAGUGGAAAAGUAUGUCAUUUGUACAGCGUGAGAUGCAAUAACUAGAUAAGAAGGGGACCUCAAAACUCGACAAGAGCGCUGGACUAAUAGUGAUUGAUGCCUCACACCCCCACCCCCCAACCCCACCCCACCCCACCUUUUUUUUUGCCAAAAGAUGCAAUAAAAUAAAUUAAUUAAUUAAUUAAUUAAAAGUUUUAUUGGAAAUGAAUAAUCCAAACUAUUAAUAAAAAUUGAAAAUGACGACCGCUCACAUGAUGUAAGUUUAAAUUACAAAAACCCCUAAUCUAUUUGGUAAUUACAAUCAGCCCUCUCAACUAUGAAUUUUCUACACAUCCAUCUUUAUGGUGUCUAAGUGAACAAAAUCUUAUAGAUUCCGUAGAAUGGGCGCUAGUUUGUUUUCGUUUUGUGCAAAAAUGCAGUUUUUGAUGCAUCAAAAUUUGAUAUUUACAGACACAUCUUACGAUCAUCCCGUUUGAACAAAUCGAGCUCGAAUGGAAUAAAACGAGUACAAAUUGAAGAAUAUGUAGAAUUAUUUUUGGUAAUCUGACAUUUCCUCCCGGUGACCGUUUGUCCGACUCUUAAUAAAAAUUGGGAAAAAAAUAAAAUAAUAAGAUAUUUCCAAAAACAGGUACAGAAAAUUCACGUGGAAGGUAGAUAAUCCUAUAUAUCCUGACCAUGCAAAAGCAAUUAAUCAUUCAUAAAGAUAACACAAUUUAUUUAUUUAUUGUGUCUACAACAUUUUCAGGCCUUUUCUUUUUUCACACCGACACAUCCAUGGAAAAUAUGCAGUCAGAAAACAAGCCCAAAUCCAGGCGCAAAUUCAUUCUCCUGUCGGCAUUAUCUUCUCUGCUACUUGUCGCUGUUGUUUCUGUCGCCGCCGUACAAUCCCACAAGCAUGCCUCCAUCCACGGCGCCGGGGUUGCUAAAUACAGUGUCAGCCACUACUCGGUGGUCAAGUCAACCUGCUCCGUCACGCUGUACCCGGAGCUCUGCAUUUGGACGAUCCAGGAGGCGGCUCCGGCCGCCAGCAUGAAGAGCAGCAGGGACGUUUUGAUAACCGCCCUCAACUACACAAUCUACACUGUGGAGCGGAACUACUUCACCGUCAAGAAAGUGGGGUCCACCCGGAGCAAGUCGCUGACGGCGCGUGAGAAGGGCGCGCUCCACGACUGCCUGGAAGUUAUCGAUGACACCCUGGAGGAGCUCCGGGACACGGAAAUGGAGCUCAAGGACUAUGGAUACAAGAACUACACCAUCGCCGACCACAAGGAGAAAAUCAUGUCCCUCUUGAGCGCGGCGCAGACAAACCAGGAAUCCUGCCUGGACGGAUUCUCCCACUACAACGCCGAUAAGGUUGUCCGGAAAGUUCUGCUCGCCGGUCAGAAGCACGUGUUCAAGCUCGUGAGCAAUGUGCUCGCCAUAAUCAAGAACCUGGCCGAUACUGAAAUGGCCCAGUUGAAUUCUUCGCCGGCGGCGGAGGGGAGGAGGCUUGGGGAGGAGAGUUCCGGUGAGUGGCCGGAAUGGAUGUCGGCCGGAGAUAGGAGGCUGCUUCAGUCAUCGACUGUGACACCUGAUGUGACGGUGGCGGCUGACGGGAGUGGGAAUUUCAGAACUAUUGCUGCGGCGGUGGCGGCGGCGCCGGAGAGAAGUACUAGGAGGUAUGUGAUUAGGAUAAAAGCUGGGGUUUACAGAGAGAAUGUGGAGAUUUCGAGAAGGAAGACUAAUUUAAUGUUCGUCGGAGAUGGACGGUCGACCACCAUUAUUACCGGCAGCCGGAAUGUAGUUGAUGGCAGCACCACCUUCAAUUCCGCCACUGUUGGUUAGUCCAAAUCAUUUAAAUUACUUCAACAUUUAAUAUAAUUUUCUGGUCUUAAUUAUCAAAAUAAAAAAAAAAAAACUAAUUUUCUGGUUUUGUUUAAUUGAUUUAAAACGACGACGUUUGUAUGAUUAAGAAUAUCAUUGUAGGGAAAUGACGUUACGGACCCCAACAUUUCAUUAUUUUUACUUUUUAGACUAAAAGCCGCCGGCCCCACAAACAUUUCUUUUUCUUUUUCUUUUUAAUUUUAUUCAAUAAUUUAAUUGGAUAGGUAAUCAAUAGAUGGGAACAACUUUUUUCGUUUCGAUUUCAAAUUUGAAUUUUCAAUUGUUUCGAUUUCGAAUCUGAUUUCUUUCUUAAAAUAAUAUCAAUAAAAUUAAAAUUAUUAUAUAUUUACUAUGCAUCAUAUAUUAGGGAUAAAACAAAAAUAAAGUUUCUCCAAUCCCAAUAUCGAUUUAUUUUUUCAUUGUGGUUUAUGAAAUCUAAUUUUCGAUUUGGAGCAAAUUUUUAAUUGAAAUCAGAAUUAACAUAUUGUGAAAAGUAAAUCCCAAUUUUUUUUUUUAAAUGUUAAUAAAUCAGAAAACAAAUAUUUAGUAUAAUAAUUUCGUUUGCAUGCAGCGGUUAUCGGCGACGGAUUUCUUGCACGUGACAUAACAUUUCAGAACACCGCCGGACCGUCAAAGCACCAGGCGGUGGCGCUGCGGGUCAACGCCGACCUCUGCGCCUUCUACCGCUGCGACAUGCUUGCAUAUCAGGACACCCUAUACGUCCACUCCCUCCGCCAGUUCUACACCGGCUGCCUCAUCGCCGGAACCGUCGACUUCAUCUUCGGCAACGCCGCCGCCGUACUCCAGAACUGCGACAUCCACGCCCGCCGUCCCAACUCCGGCCAGCGGAACAUGGUCACCGCCCAGGGCCGAGACGACCCCAACCAGAACACCGGAAUUGUUAUCCAGAAGUGCAGAAUCGGCGCCACCUCCGACCUCCGCCCCGUCCAGAGCAGCUUUCCGACGUACCUUGGACGGCCGUGGAAGGAAUAUUCGAGGACCGUCGUUAUGCAGAGUGAGAUAAGCAACGUUAUUAAUCCGGCGGGGUGGUUCAUGUGGGAUGGGAAUUUCGCGCUCAACACUCUGUUCUAUGCGGAGUAUCAGAACACCGGCGCCGGCGCUGGAACGGGGAGCAGGGUGACGUGGAGGGGGUUCAGGGUGCUGACUAGUGCUUCUCAGGCGACGCCUUUUACGGCGGGGAAUUUUAUCGGCGGCGGGAAUUGGUUGUCGGCUACUGGCUUUCCGUUUUCUCUUGGCCUUUAAUUAAUCUCCGAGGAAUGGAGUGUUGUUUUGUGCUUUUAUUAUUGUUUUUUUUUUUUUUUGGUCUCCAAUUUGUAUUUCUGUGAAUAAUCCGGUCUAGUGAUAUUAAGACCGGUCCAUUUUGGAAUUUUCUCAAUAAGAAAAUGAUUGUUUUAAUUUUGUGUUUAAUUACGAAAACAUCCCCAUAUUGAUGCGAUUACUAAACUUCUCCCGACGUUUGUUUUAGUCUUACACUGACUCCCUUAAGGUGUGAUGUUUCACGAAAUCUUUUUAAUUCGAGGGAAUAUUACUCAAAAAAUGCCGAUUCUAGCCCUGCAGACGUGGCAGUUCUUUAUGCUACAUGGAAUCUUUAUUUUUCUUGAACAGCACAUUCAUAACUUUUUAGUAUUACCAUUACCCCCUCUGAGGGUAAUUUUUAUCUUAAAAUAUAGCAUAAAGAAAUGUCACGUCUGCAAGGUUAGAAUUGACAUUUUCGAGAAAAAAUCGAUGGAAUCAAAAAGAUUCCGUAAAAAUUGACAUAGUAAGGGUGUCAAUGUAAGACGCAAACAAACAUUGGGGGAUUUGAUAAUUACUGAUAGAUGGGGGAGUUUUCGUAAUUUAGCCUAAGUUUAGGGGGUUUUUGUAAUUUACCCUAAAUAGUAACUGGGCUGGACUCGAUAGAAGGAAACAAUAUUGGGUCAAUUCAAAGAAUGUAUUUGGGUUGAAUAAAAGUUAUUUAUUAACUGGACCUAAUAUAAUUCUUUGGAAUAUCAUAUGAUCCAAUUUCAUGCUAUUUUUUUUUUGUUAUAAAAAAUAAUUAAAAAAAAAAACAAAAAACAAAAAUAAAAAAAUAGUUAGAGAAAUCAGAAAAGAGAAAGAGAACAUCAAUUCUUAACAAUCAACUUUGGUAACAUGGAAUAAAUUUCAGCAUAUAAAAGGAAUUAGAAUCCCAUGCGCAAUGUCUAUAAUGUCAGGUUUUCCUCGAUAUCUUUGGCAAUGUUUGGUAUUGUUUUUAUUUUGUUUUCAUUGAUUCCUCAAAAUAAAAUUAUAUUUAUUACACUUUUUAAAUAAUUUUCUUAAAAAAUCUCAAAAGUUUUUCUCUCUUUCAGAUAUGAUGUGACUGCUAUAGUAAAAUGAUUUGACUGUUACGCUAAAAAAUGUUUUCACUAAAAAACAAAUAAAUAUCACUUUAUCUUUCAAUUUUUUUCUUCUCAAAAUACUUUUUUCUUACACUUUUAAACAUGAUGUGACUGCUACAGUGUGUUUUUUCUCCUUCCAAAAUAUAAACAAACAUUAUAUUACUUUCAUUCUCAAAUUCUUCCCCCAAAAUAUAUUUCCUCAAAAUGAAAAUCAAAAUAAGUUUCAAAACGCUUCCAAACUUUAAAUAAUAGGUAUAAGUAGUCUCGCAAUAGAUGAUCUAGUGAUUGGAGCAUGUGCGCAUGUGUAAAUUGACGAAUUAAUCCCUCAUUGUCAAUGAUCGCUAGACGUAACUCGUCACACAUACAUUCUUAACUUAAUGUGAUUUAUGUCUCUCGUAUGGUUUCCAAGCUAUUAUACGAGAAUGUAGAACCCGGCGCGCCUACAUAGUUGGUUACGUUGCACAUUGAUGAUGCCAGAGAUAAAUCACCUAAUGUAAUUGAAAUAGGAUGGGCUGGAAGAGCAAAUUAAGUGGAUCACUUGCUCACGAGAUUGAUGACCUUGAGAUACUUGCAAUUAGAGAACACGUAAACUAAAUCGGGGUUGAUUUGACGAAAAACCCUACAACGCUCAAAUCAGACGUGUAGAUUACAAAAGUCGUAGAACGAAUACGAGCAGUAGUAUUGUUCGGAUAUUGGAUACCUUAACAAAUGAAAUGUAAUCUUUAUGUAUAUCAAGUUGGUUGGGCUGACCAACCCUCUUUAGUAGAGUUGGUACCUAGCAUUUACCAAUAGGGUAAAGGUCUAGGGUUCGAGUCACCCCUCCCCUACUUCUCCUUGUAAUGGACUUAAAUUUACUCAAAAAAAAAAAUUCGUUAGGCUGAAGUUACUUAAUUAUAAUUGUUGGACCCAAACCUUAUUUUAAAUCGGCCCAAAUAAACAUAUCUUAUAUGAUUGAUGCAUAUUUUUUCAUUGCCGAAAAAAAUAAUAAUAAUAAUAUUAAUAACUAAAAUAAAUAAAAAAAAAGAGAGUGACAGCUCAAAAGGGUUUCGACGGAUCAAAACGCAUGUGCAUUUCGGAUACGUAAUGAAAAUUUAAUGCAUGCCCGAACUUACGCAUUGACCAAUCUAUUAUUUAAUAUGAUGUUUUAAAUAUUUAUUAAUUUAUUAUGAAGAAAUUCCGCAAUAACAAACACGCUUAUAACUAUUUUGGCCAAAUAGUUCAUAGGAAAAAACGCGCUUUUUGGGCCCUCUUUAAUUAAUGGGGAAAUAUGCAAUACCCCCCUCAUUUGAAAAAUAUUUUGAUAUAAACCCAAUUGACUUUAAAGACUUUUUUCAAAACCCAAAUCCCAAUCUAAAUUAGUGAGACCCCCCUCACCAGACAUGAUAAGACUAAAGUGCCCAUGUGUUAGGUUUUUAACGUGAUAUAAUUUUAUUUCUCACUCUUGUAUAUCUCUCCCUCUUUCUCUCUCUCUCUUCUCUCUCACUCUCGUUCUCAAUUGCUCUCUCUCUCUCUCUCUCUCUCUCUCUCUCUCUCUCUCUCUCUCUUUUUCUUUUUUUUUUCUCCCCUGCAGAUCAACUGCCAUCGCCGCCAUCCUUCUCCUUCUCCGCACCACCGUCGUAGUCCGCUCACCCUGGCUACCGAUCACAGCCGCUCACCGCACUACACCUAGCCGUCCGCCUCGGAGAUGCCACCGUUGUUCGCGUCCUCGUCACCGCCGGCCGGCCGAAAUUCAAUUUCUCUUCUUCUUCUCAAUUAAAAAAAUUAUAAAUUCACCCCACUCUCUCUCUCUUUCAUUCACCGUCGUUGUCCUCGCCUCACCCUCCAUCCCUUUCAUUAUUUUCGAUUUUUUUCAUUUUUUUUUCUCUCCAGAUCUAAACAGCAGCAUCAACGUGACUACUCUGGUUCGAAUGUGACUAUUGUUGAUUCACUCGAUUAGUUAAACUGUGUUUGAAGGUCAGAGGUUCUGCUUUAAUUUUGUUGGUUUCGUAAUUGGGGCUGGGUUGUAGUGUGUGUAUUCAGAUAUGUGUGUAUGUAUAUUUAGAACCGAAUUUUCAUUGUUUUUUUUUUGGGUCGUCUUAAUUGGUGUCAAUGAUCGUUACUGAUUGAAAUUUUAUACCGAUUAACGCAGAGUCACGUUGUGACUACUCUGUAAAUCUUUUGUUCGUUUUGCGUUAAUUGAUACGAUAGUGUAAUUUUAUUGUAAUUUGUUUUUUUGCGUUACUUGAUAUGUUUCAAUGUGUUUGUUGUGGUUGAAUUGAAUUCACAUAAUAUUAUGUGAUUUGCAUUUACAGAGUAGUGCAGAUUUAUUCAUCAGAAGUAGUCACGUAGUAGUCACAAUCUCGUUUUUUUUUUGUAGUGCUGCACAUCAUGUCGUCAACCUUGAUGAUUGUGUUGAAGUAUGGAGGCUCGUUUGGGGUGAAGAUAUGUCAGGUUGAUUUUGUGUAUGAAGACCUCGUUGGCUUUGUCACUGAUAAGUGGUGCAGUUUGACUUCGAAUAUGACUAUAGCCAUAUUUAUGUAUUUUUCGAAUAUGACUGUAGUCAUAUUCGAAUAUGACUGUUGUUGAAUAUAAUCUAUAUUCUCGUUUUCAAGUUGGCUUCUAGUAAGUAAAUUCAAAUUGAUUUUUUUGUGUGGAUAUUGAUUGAAUUAUUUUCGUAAACAAUAGGGAAUCUUCGUUGUUUUAUAUGAUUUGGUAAAUAUGACUAUGCCAUAUAAUCGGAAUUUUUAAGUUCAAAAUAUAAAAAAAACGCAAUAUAAAGAAAAAAUAUGACUACAGUUAAUAUGCCGUAAGCAUUCGUAAUGUGCUGGUGCAAGUGUUACAUCCUCAAAGAAUGAAACAACUGACUUCAAGCUCCCUCUGAAUUGUGAGGUCCACGUACCAUGGUCAAGCACUUGACGUGCCAUGUUUCGAGUUUCAUCUGAAAAAAAUCAAUUUUCUGUAUGUUACACACAUAUGCAACCAUAAAUAAGUCAUUCUACCAAUAUGACUACAGAAGGUUACUACAUCAAUACACCAAUUCAAUUACAGGUUUUCAUUAUAUGCUCAAACCAUAUCACAUUCCCAAUGCAAAAGUUAAAAAUUCAUAGCAUGGAAGGUGGUAAUGUGGCUGUAUAACUACAUAUUCUGGCCUAGUCACAUAUAGUUUAUGAUGGUAAUGUGACUAUGUAAUUAACAAUUUACCAACUUAGUUAGCAUUAUUCAUCUAUGUCAAUGGAAGGUCUUUAAACACAGGGCUACAACAUGACUCCAUAUGAAUAGACCACAACAUCUAUUGUUGGCAAUUAAUACAUCAACGCAUACCCCAAAAAUGACUGCUGCCCCCAAAAAUAUGUGUACAAAAGUAAAUCUCAUCUGAAACAACAAAAUUGAUCUAAUCUGGAUCUACGAUCACACAUGCAGACAUUAUACCAAUAUGACUACAGAAAAUGACUAUAACAAUACAACUAAUGACAUCAACAUGCAGACAUAUACCAUACAUUAUAUCAACAUGACUACAUAAAAUGACUAUAACAAUACACUAAUUUAGUUACAAAUUUCUUUAACAUACUCAAAUCAGAGCAUGUGUUCUGCUGCAAAUGUUUAGAAGUCAUAACAUUUUUAACAUUGGUAUACAACUAAUUACAUCAACAUGUAGACAUAUACCAUACAUUAUGUCAACAUGACUACAGAAAAUGACUAUAACAAUACAACUAAUGACAUCAACAUGCAGAUAUAUACCAUACAUUAUAUCAACAUGACGACAUAAAAUGACUAUAACAAUACACUAAUUUAGUUACAAAUUUUUUUAACAUACUCAAAUCAGAGCAUGUGGUCUGCUGCAAAUGUUUAGAAGUCAUAACGUUUUUAACAUUGGUAUACAACUAAUUACAUCAACAUGUAGACAUAUACCAUACAUUAUGUCAACAUGACUACAAAAAAAGACUAUAAUGAUACACUAAUUUAGUUUCAAAUUUUUUUUACAUACUCAAAUCAGAGCACAUUUCUGCUGCAAAUGUUUAGAAGUCAGAACAUUUUUAACAUUGGUAUACAAACUAUUUACAUCAACAUGCAGACAUAUACCAUACAUUAUAUCAACAUGACUACAUAAAACGACUACAAGUAUACACUAAUUUAGUUUCAAAUUUUUUUAACAUACUCAAAUCAGAGCAUGCUUCUGCUGGAAAUGUUUAGAAGUCACAACAUUUUUAACAUUGGUUAAAUUGCAGUUUGGGCAUACAUACAGAACACUUUUCAAUGAAAUCCGAACAACCAUAGAUUCAUUGUGUAUGUAGUACAGUCACAUAUAGUCAUGAGGCAACCAUAAAUCAUCCCAAUAAACCCUUAAAGUGAAAUUAAAUUGGAUCUACGGGCACAAAUAAUAUAUUUUUGGCAAUAUAUGGUACAAAAAAUUGAUCGGCAAAAAACAAAGGAUUUAGGUAUACAAACUAACCGGCAUCAAGAUGCAUAAUGUCCUGAGGAUUGGGUCUUCGUUUACGCUUCUGUGACGACUUCUUCUUCAUUUCAAAAAGCAGACUCGAAUGUGACUAUCGCAAUUGAAAUUUACGGGAUUUUGACUACCGAAACACCACCAAAAUAAAAUACGACUGUGAAUGGGGAAGGUGGGUUAACGAUUUUGUAGCAACAAUCUUUGAUUUUCGAAUGUGACUACAGAUUCGCUGCUAGUAUUUUGAAUUUUCGCUAGUUUUUGAUUUGGGGGAAAAAUCCCAAUAUGUGGGUCUCCUGCUUCUGGAUGAUGCGGUUUAAUUUUUUUUUCUUUAUAAAUGUUUAAUUAAGAGCAGUUUAUUAGAGAAACUAAUUAAUUAAGCAUAAAUAGCGGGAUUAGGUCCCUUAUUAUUAGGGAUUUUGAAAAUAAUAUAUAAAAUAUAAAAUAAUCGUGAGAUGCUAGUAGAGGGGUAAGAUGGGAAUUAAAUAUUUUAGGGGGUUUUCACAAAGGAAGAUUUUGGGUAUGGACUUAUCACUAGUUUUUAUCUAUAAGAGGGGUGUAUUGCUAAUGACCCCUUAUAAAUAAAGGAAAAAUUAAUGUAUAUGACAAAACUACCCNNNNNNNNNNNNNNNNNNNNNNNNNNNNNNNNNNNNNNNNNNNNNNNNNNNNNNNNNNNNNNNNNNNNNNNNNNNNNNNNNNNNNNNNNNNNNNNNNNNNUACAAAACUACCCCAACCCUUUAUACAUAAUUCUUAACUGUAACCCCAAUUCCAUUAAAUUUGAAACCGCAAUGGUGACAUGUAAGAAAAUUUAUAGUUAAGGAGGAUGGUUGUACUUACCCAAAAAAGAGAAAGGGAUUCGUAAUUUGACAUACCUCGAAGUGAUUGUAAUUUAUCCUCAAGUAUAAUAAUUAAUAGGUAUGCACUAGGUAAUAUUGAUUAAAUACUCUGAACGCUCGGGAUCAAAUCUCUUAAACAUAUAGACGUAAUAUUGUUUACUGACUAGACAUGUUAAAAAUAGGGAAAAUGGAUGAAAUUAUAUUAAACUUGUGUCAAUAAAAGAUGAAAGAGACGUGCUAUUUCCACCCUCGAAAUAUCUUAUUUCACCACCAAAUUAAAUAUAUUUCCAAUUUAACCUCUUUAUUCUUCUAUCACGAUAACCAUCUACCACUAAAUUAAUUAAAAUAUUUAUAAAAAAGUUCCCACAUUUUCACCGGAAAUCAAACCCUCUCCACCAUAAGUGAAUAUACUUUAGUCAAAGAAAAAUAUUUUCGAAGGUCAAAAAGAGAAGGAAUUCACGUUUUUUGAAAAAUAAAUUAAGAUUGCUUGUACCAAAGUUCUUGAACUUUCUUCAGAAUUGGCUAAUUUGGCUUAAUAUAAUUUUGUUUCCUAAAAAAAAAUCAUCUGAUAUGAAUGUUUAAAUAUCUUGUUAAUAAAGAAAUGUUUCAUUGAAAAAAAUAAAAAAAAAUAUAUAAAAAUUAUAGGAUUAAGUGAAUAUAAGGAACAGUGGUGUAUUAUAAAUUUGAGGAAUAUUUGUGACAUUUUAUAGUCUUCGAUGGUGAAUUGAGAUAAUUUGGAGGUGGAAAUAGCACCACGACGAAAUUAACAAAAAAAUGUUACAUGGUCAAAAUCAAUCAAAAUGAGUUAAAUAAAUUAAUAAAAUAGUAAAAGAUGAAUUAAAAACGGUAAUGAUAAGCGUUAAUUGAGCAUUAAUGGGAUAUUUAUAGAUGAGUCAAACAAUGGUUUUUAUUUAUUAAUCAGCAAAAUAAAACCAUAUACUAUUAGCGAAACAGAGAAAUACCACGAGAAACAACAAGCGAAACAGAGAAAUACCACGAGAAACAACAGUAAGUAAAGUAGGGAAUUAGUUACAAUUAGCAAAAAUAUAGCCAUAUUUGGCCAGAUAAUAAUUACAUUUAGAAAUAAGGAUACUUAAUCGAAACUAUGGUUACAUCAAUUGAUCUUUUUGAAUCUGGGUUGGCCUGGUACCAGCAUUAAGUGAUCUUUUGGAAUCUCUGUCCAAGAGAGUGGCACCACUGUGCAAGUAAUUGAAACAGUAGAUAGUCCGGGUUCAUAUGCUUUCCACCCAUUCGGUGUAUAUCCCCAAUUAGCCGGAUACUCCGCAAAAUCGGGAGAAAACGGACCAACAUACGGUUCCAUUGGCUGCACGGGAGUCAUUACGGUAUCGUGGGCCGCUGCCACGACAGACGGGAUAGUCGUGCCCUCUUCGUUUCGGAAUGACAACCAGUACUCCGGCAUGGCCUUCGACUCCGGUGGGAUUCCUUUUCAAGUCGAUUUAUCGUAUGGUUGAUUCAGUGGUGAAACUAUGUUGUAAUUGCGUGAAACAACACUACGGCCCGGGAGAACGGCUAGGUAUUUCGAUUUCUGUUAUUUUAAGAAUUUAAAAAAAAAUAAUAUAAAAUAAAUAUAUAAGGUUUUUUUUGGAAAAAAUAAAUAUAUAAGUUAUAUACCUUAACGUAUUUUCUCUUUUUGGUUUGACAAGGUUGUUGGAUAGGUUGUUGACUAGGUUAACUUGGCUCUGUUGUGUCGUCGGAAAGGGUUUCUUGCAAGGCUGCAGCAAACUCUUCAUCCGAAAACGUCGUGUCGUCAGAAAGGGUGUUGUGUCGUCGGAAAGGGUUUCUUGCAAGGCUGCAGCAAAGUCUUCAUCCGAAAGCGUCGUGUCGUCGGAAAGGGUUCCUUGCUUAUUCCAAAGAAAUGGUUAAAUAGGGAAUCCUCAUUUUGAUUUUUUGUUUUCAUGGAAAAUAGGAGUUAACAAUGGUGGUGAUCGUGUUUUCGGUGGUGAGAGGAGGAGAUAAGUAUGGAAUUAUGUGAAAGAAGAAUUAACAAGGAUGUCUUUUAAUUUUCGCAAGGUGUGAGUUUAACCAAGAUGAUUAUUAAUUGCCAAGUGUGCUAUCAUGCAAAUUACCCAUUUGAAUAUCUAUUUAAUUUAGUCACCAACUUACAUAACACACACAUAUGCGGUUCAUAAUAUAUAGGGGUACGGUUCAUAGUAUAUAGGGGUUUUUGUGCAUAAGUUACUGACCAACCAUCUUUAUUAUUUUAGGUUUAGGGGUUAUAUCUCUUUCGCCAAUAAGCUCAUCCCUUCAAUAUAUUCUAGCAUUUUCGCCCGUGCGAUGCACGGGAUAGCAUUUUAAAUGAAGAUGAUGAGUAAUUUAAUACAUGAUAACUACAAUUAUAAUAAAAUUUAUUAGUGAUAUCGAUAAGGAUAUCAACAUUUAUACGAAUUUAAUAAUAUAAACUCAUUUUCCAAAAACAAAAUACAAACUCAUUAAAAAAAAUUAUAAAAACUUAAUUGUCAAUCAUUAAAUAAAUGUAGCAUAUUUUUAAUUAGAAAAAUAGGUUGGAAAAUAAUAAUAAUAACUAAAAAAAUAUAGAUGUAGUAGAUUAUGAUUGUGCUAGCCGAGAUUUGGUUUUAAAAUAAUUAGAAAAAAUAUAGCUGCAAAAUAGGAGAUAAAAAAAAUAUAUUUAAACAUAAAUUAAUUUAUUUUUACAAAUAUGCUAUUAGGGUUUCUUAGGUUACUCUAGCGUUUCUUUCUUUUAUAUUUUGGAAAAUAAUAAUAAUAACUAAAAAAAUAUAGAUGUAGUAGAUUAUGAUUGUGCUAGCCGAGAUUUGGUUUUAAAAUAAUUAGAAAAAAGAUAGCUGCAAAAUAGGAGAUAAAAAAAUAUAUUUAAACAUAAAUUAAUUUAUUUUUACCAAUAUGCUAUUAGGGUUUCUUAGGUUACUCUAGCGUUUCUUUCUUUUAUAUAUAAGUUAUCAAUUUUUUAUCUCGUAAAUAUUAUUUUCGAUUUGUAUCAGUUUUUUAUCUCCAAAAUAUUAUUUUAAUUAUUAUUUUCGAAUUUUAUCAAAUUUAUAUCUCCUAAAUAUUAUUUUAAAUAUUGUGUUCGAGUUUUAUAUAAAAAAUAUCUCCUAAAUAUUAUUUUUCAAUUUUUAUCAAAUUUUUGUAUUCUUGCCUACAAUGCAAAUAAAUAAAGUAGAUCAUCAACAUUAACUUAAACUUAACUUAAU